UGUGAAUUGCAGAAUCCCGUGAACCAUCGAGUCUUUGAACGCAAGUUGCGCCCGAAGCCAUUAGGUUGAGGGCACGCCUGCCUGGGCGUCACGC
rnacentral:rRNA from 1 species